GGAGAAUUAGGACCUCUUCGAGCUGUCUAAUCUUUCUGGCAUUCUUCAAAGUGGAUUCUAAAUGAUAUUGGAUAUUGGGUUCCACCUAAAGGAUACAUUGAUUCUUCCAUUAGCAUGUUGUAGCAUUUAAUUCUCUUAUAUACUGCCUUUAUCUUUAUGCAUAUGUAGUCCUCUUUCCAUUUUUAUAAAUUCUGUCCUUUCUUUUCCUUUUAGAUAUUGCAUAUGGGGUUAUUGUGCGAAGAUGCUCAAGAGGAUUAUUGCCGUGAAGAAUGUGAUAAGGGAAAGCAAGUAAUGUCUUCAUCACGUGGAUUAGAAAAUGUGUGUUCUGGAUCGAAGUUACAUGCUCCUGCAAAGGUUUUUCAGAGUUUUGUGCCACCAAAGUAAUGUGGUAAGUUUCUUGGUGGCCAUUCUAUUAGCAGGGUAAAGGAGGUACAGACCGGGAAAAUAAGAUAACGACCUAUUGAAGAAGCUCUUGGUCUAUCAUCAGGCACCAAGUGGAUGAAAACUACUAGCUCGUCAAGAGUUGUGUCCACCAAUUAUCUAAAUGUCCUGAGGGUUCUAUCAUUCUGGAGCAUAGGAGUCCCAAUGCUUUGAAUGAGAGUCUAAUGAUACCCAUGACACACCCUUAUGAUCCUGCUCACGAUCCUUCCA